AUUGAACGCUGGCGGCAGGCCUAACACAUGCAAGUCGAACGAGUGGCGGACGGGUGAGUAAUGUCUGGGAAACUGCCCGAUGGAGGGGGAUAACUACGGGAAAAGGUAGCUAAUACCGCAUAACAUCGGAUGUGGCCAGAUGGGAUUAUCUAGUAGGUGGGGUAAUGGCUCACCUAGGCGACGAUCCCUAGCUGGUCUGAGAUGAUGACCAGCCACCCGGGAACGGAGACACGGUCCAGACUCCUACGGGAGGCAGCAGUGGGGAAUAUUGCACAAUGGGCGCAAGCCUGAUGCAGCCAUGCCGCGUGUAUGAAGAAGGCCUUCGGGUUGUAAAGUACUUUCAGCGGGGAGGCGUUACCCGCAGAAGAAGCACCGGCUAACUCCGUGCCAGCAGCCGCGGUAAUUC
rnacentral:rRNA from 1 species